CGUUGGAGAGCACAGGCUCCGGACGCACAGGCCCAGCGGCCAUGGCUCACGGGCCCAGAUGCUCCACGGCAUGUGGGAUCCUCCCAGACCGGGGCACGAACCCAUGUCCCCUGCAUCGGCAGGCAGACUCCCAACCACUGCGCCACCAGGGAAACCCAACUUGUGGACCUUUCUUACUAAGUGAUUUUUGUUUCAGUCUAAUGUUAAAUGAUUAAAUUGAGCUAGCUAAGCCCACGUCAGCUGGAACAAUGGGGAGAGAGCGAGACCAGAGCUGUGGACCAAGGGACAGGGUAACCUGCAAGCUGGACUUUGUUCCUAGGUCUUUUAUGUUCAUCUGAACCUUAGUUGAUUGUGGAUUUUCAGCAAAAUGGGGAAAAGUAAAGUCCAUGCAUGCUGUAGUCUGGCACAGGUGAAUGCUCCAGAACCUGAGAGGUGCUCUGAAGUUAUCAGAGACUAAUCCAAACAGACAUACUCCACUGCAUCCAGGCGGUGUCUUUCCACUCCAAGCACUUUAGUUAGCCUCUAUGUACGACCAUAUCUAUUCAAAAGAGGUUUUCUAAAAAAGGAGAUAUGUAGGAAAUUAUCUCUGCAAUGCUGUAGUCUGUUUUUUCUUCACUUAUAAAUGCACACCAAAAAUUGUAGUUACCACGUGAAUUUUGUGUAGAGCUAAUUCACUCAAUAUAAAAAAGGCUCUUACAAAUCAAGACAAACAAAACAGUCAAAUAUAAUGCAAGACGUUGAUUUCACCAGUGGUCUCAAUCAAUGGCCUCCUAGUAUCCAGGCUCUGGGUGGUGCCCUCUGGCGCAUGCUCUGCUUGGCAGGAGGACUUGCUUUGGCUGAUGGGAUGGGAGUGUCUGCACACACAGGGCAGAGACAGAAGGGCCCUGGAGUCUCUUUUUCCUCCGUCCAAUCCCUGCCACUGUCAGGAGAGCAAGCCCAGGCCAGCCUGACUGAGGAAGGGACCCACACAAAGCAGAGCCGACUCCAUCCUUCACGGCUGGCUCAAGCGACAGGACGCCACCCCCCUGGCUCAGCCACACUUCUGGAUGUGAGUUGGAUUCUGCUAACUGCAGAGCCUGGAGAGGCGCCCUGAUCCUGCCAGCAGCACCGCUGGUCCUCAGGCCAUCCUGGUAACCGGGCGAGGAACGCCUGGAGCAAUGAACCCUGAACAAGAGCUGUGCUCUCCGAAGGACCAGCCACGGUCUCUGGACUUGGGUCGUGGACGAGGCGCUGGGAACCCUGGUGAAGGUGGCGGCCAGCAUCGGCGGUCAGUGCCCUUGGUCACACCAGAGCCCUGACGGCUGCGCGGGGAAUGCAUCUGAGGGGGCGCAGGAGGAGAACUUGGGGGGCUGUUGCAGCAGCGGUCUGGAUGUGAGGCCGAGGCCCGAACCAGGGACUCACCGAAAGGAUGGAGCCGACCAGACUGGCCGGGCCUUCUGGAGAAGGCAGGCACCCGGGGAGGCGGAAUGAAGGGUGGUGUCACAGCUCAGGCAGCAGGUGCAGAAUGAAGGUACACAGUUUGGGGGAGGCUAGGGUUUUUUCUUGUUUUUUUUUUACAAUUUUUUAUUUUAUAUUAGGGUAUAGUUGAUUUACAAUUUUUAAAAAAAAUUUUAUUUUAGGGGGAGGCUAGGUUUUGAGCGAGUUGAGUGUGGGGCAGCCUUGGGACGUCCAUGCAAAAAUGUGCAGCUGGCAGCAGAGGGUCAGGGCUGGAGGGACUCAACGGUCAGGGGGCAGUGAGAUGAGAGUGGAUGAGAUGGGUGGAGGCACACUCGGUACAGGGACAGUGCUGAGCGGGGACAGAAGCAUGCAUGGGACAGGCCCUGACAGAGGCGCUCGCGAAAGAGACGGAAAAGGAAGGUCAGAAAGGAAAACCCAGAAGCCUGUUGUCGGAGGUGACAAGAAACGAGCUUCUGGAAGGUGGGAGUGACUGAUAAUUGAACUGAAAGGAUCAGUAACAUGAGGGCUAAAGGCACGUUACUUGAUUUGGCAAUUGGGUCCCGGUGACCUAAGAGCAGCAGUGAGGAAGCCGGGCGGCAGGGGCCGGCAGUGCCCAUGAACCGGGAACCAAGCACAGGCUCUUCUCUAAGGAGGUCGGGAUGAGAAAGGAUGCUUGAGAUGGAGGAUAAUCAGGAGGGGCUGCCCCUCGUAAGAGCCAGGGAUGGAACAAGACUGGCCAGGAAAGGCACUCGGCACAGCAUCCAGGACACAGUAAGUGCUCAAGAAACAGAAGUUAUCGUUUACUCGCUGGCUAUCUCAUGAUCUACAACCUUACCAUGUGCCAGGCAUUGUUCCGGGUCCUGUAGAUAUAGUGAGCAAGAGACACAAAAACCCUGGCCAAGGAGCUUACAUUCUCGUGGGGGAGACAGACAACAGAGAAAAUUAAUAACUCAAGACAGCUGGUAUAUUCCACAGUGGUAAAUGCUACGGAGAAAACAUGAACUAAGGGAAGAAGAUAUAAAAUGUUGAAGGAGGGAACGAAAUUCUAGAUCUGGUGGCCAGGGAAGGGCCCCACUUUUAAGACCCAAAGGAAGUGAGAAAAGUAUCUAUAAUUAGGAGGUGAGGGAAUACUACUAAUGAUCACCACCACUGUCAUUAGCAUUCUCAAUAUAUUACUACUGCGGUAAUAGGUUGUAAUUAGAUCAUCACCACUAUCUUUGCCACAUGAAUGUUACUAUCAUUACUGCCCUCUCUGGCUCUCGAGUAGCUUUGGCAGCAGCAUCCAGCAGCCCUGUCCACGCUACAGGGGCGUUUUCAAUGGAGAGCCGUGUACUGGAGAACCAAGCAUAACCUGACAGACCAUCAUCACGGCGAGUGUGUAAGGCAGAGGCACAGCUCGGGUGGGAACACACCUGUGUGUAGUCACUGCAAAGAAAAAGCUGCUUCAUGUGUGUGUUGAGGGGAGAAGCGCAGCCCUAGACCGGUCUUUCUGUCCCACCUGCAAGUAGGGAUACAUGUAACAGGCCAUCCUCAGACCCAAAGGCAGGGACACGAAGACAUCUCUGGAGCAACAGGAAACGGUAACAGCAGCUGGAGGAGGUGCAGAUGGAGACAGUGUGUGAUUCAGAGGUCCCAGUCGUGUUUCUACCAGAACAUUUAUCUGGUUGUUAGGGAUAAAAAUCAGCCAGUACCACCUGGGAAUAACAGAGAACUGGACAUUCCUGCUAUUUGCCCAGCCUGGCACAAUGCUGAGAACGGGGGUGAGGGCGUGUGACGAGUUCUUACCAGAUGACACUGAACGAGGGGACUGAGUCUUGCUUGUGAUCGAUGCAAAUGCUUUUUUAACAGAUUGACUUGGACUAAUAAUUAUUAUUUGCAUAUAAAGAAAAAAAGAAAAGGAAAAGAAACAGGAAAAGAAUCCAAAUGCCUGAGGACUUACCCUUUCUUCAACCUGUUUAAGUUGCUACAAAAUUUUUCUAAGUUACAAUGUCGAGUGUUUCACUUCUCGACAGCCACAAACUUCCGUGGGCAGGUGGCAGGUGGGACAGGAAAUGUGACCUGUGGGACAAACCCCAUUUUUCAAAUGAGGUCGUGGAAAAGCUUUGUAAAUAUCUUCAAUGCGUUUUGAGAUGCCUUUAUUAUCCAAAGGGAGCCAAUACAGAACUUGUCAUUAAAAAAAUAAUAACCUCAAGAUUAAAACAUUAUAGCUCCAGUAGCAGUGCUUAGACUAUAGAAACGUUUCCAUUCCUUGUAAAUGUCUAUGUAAACAGAUCCCAGCAUUUCCUUCCAGGCUUUGAAGCCAAAAGUUAAACCAUUGCAAUGCCAAUGAAAAGCCCAUGAAAGAAGAAAGUAUACAGGCCAAUUAUGUUUUACCGCUCAACGUGAUAGGAACUUGCUAUAUUCUAAAUAUUAUUAUCAUGGCCUCACCACACACUCUUUAUUAUAAAACAUUUCACACCCAUACAUAACAGUAUGUACACUGUAUUUUCAUGCUUCUCUAAGGAUUCCAGACACCGACUUCAUCAACAUCAUCUGACUCCACUGGAAGGGCAGAAAAAGUGAAUCAGAGAUUAUGGAAAGAUUCCAAUCGUGCGACGUGCAGUCAUACAGCCAGGAAGACAGCUGCCUCAUCCCCGGGGAAUCCACCACCAAAGCGGGGAGUGCAGGAGAGGGAGGGCAGAAAACACUGGCAACUGGCCCAUUUCACUGCAUCUGCAAACGGAUUCAAGCAGCAGGACGUGGAUUACUGUGGGUUCACUGUUUUCCUCUGGAAACGCCCUCAGCUGUUGUGCUGUGGUUGAAGCACUGAAGGACGUCCGGACUCCGUGUGAGCUGCUGAGCCAGGGCGCCCGUCAUGUCCAGAGAGUCCCCAAGCCCAGAGCACAGGAGGAACUUGACGCAGGCCGCGUGCUGCCCAGAGCAGGCCAGAUGCAGGGCUGGGUGGGGACAGAGGCACCCAGCUCAGUGCAUCACCUACAGCAGUACUGACUGGGGAGCAGGAUGCCCCUGAUAAAAGCACUGACUUUCAAUUGCACAGAUUUCAUAGUUCCAUAUUCUUCCCUAUGACUUUGCCUAUUCUGGAUCAAAACAUUUUUCCUUUUAACCUGACUUGGUCACAGAUGGUUUUAAAAGUAACAAAACCAAUUGGAGAGAAUUUGAGAGACUUGUCCAAAACAAAGUAAGUUAAUGAGAAAUAGGAGACUUUAAAUAGUACAGAAGACAUUUUCAAAGUUUUGUGAAUUCUCUGUGUAAGUAAAAAUAUCACCAUGAGUAAGAAUGAUGUAACAGAAAGAAAAACUGCUGACACAUCUUCCCAUUCUGGUUGGAAAUUGGCGCUGAGGGUUUCUGAUGUGCUGUGAGCCAUGAUCCUGGGUCCUGCUCCCCUGUCGUUAGGAGAAAGUUUGUGUCCUGGGACUUAGUGACCUUCCUCUGCAGCCCUGGAGUGAGUUGUGAAGCAUCACAAGGUCCUACUUAACCCUUGCAAGAUGGACACUGGUGCACAGAGUGCUACUGAGAAGGUUUAUUCUAAAGUCCAAGUCUAAGGAAUUAGCUCUGAAAAUAUCUUUCUGAGCCCGAAACCUAAAAAAUUAUAGUGAUUAAGGUUUUUUUUUUU